rnacentral:misc_RNA from 1 species
GAAUUGGAAUCUUAUUGAACUCCCUCCUGUAUCGCUUCAUUAUGUUGUGUAACAUCUGUAAACCAUUUUUGUUUAUAAUAUCCAUCAAAACUGUGCGUGACUUAGUUUUCAAGAUUGCAUCAAGGAUCAUAGAAAGGUCCCGGUUGCUCUGGAUAGCUUCACCAUUACAGCCAUCCCCUGAAGCAGCAGUUAAAAGGAGGAGCUUCA